UACGGAGGGUGCGAGCGUUGUCCGGAAUCACUGGGCGUAAAGGGCGCGUAGGCGGCCUCCGCAAGUCAGUUGUGAAAUCUCCGAGCUUAACUCGGAAAGGUCAACUGAUACUGCGGGGCUAGAGUGCGGAAGGGGCAACUGGAAUUCUUGGUGUAGCGGUGAAAUGCGUAGAUAUCAAGAGGAACACCUGCGGCGAAGGCGGGUUGCUGGGCCGACACUGACACUGAGAGACGAAAGCUAGGGGAGCAAAUGGG
rnacentral:rRNA from 1 species